CGGGACGGGUGAGUAACGCGUGGGUAACCUGCCUCAUACAGGGGGAUAACAGUUGGAAACGGCUGCUAAUACCGCAUAAGCGCACAGUACCGCAUGGUACGGUGUGAAAAACUCCGGUGGUAUGAGAUGGACCCGCGUCUGAUUAGGUAGUUGGUGGGGUAACGGCUCACCAAGGCGACGAUCCCUAGCUGGUCUGAGAGGAUGACCAGCCACACUGGAACUGAGACACGGUCCAG
rnacentral:rRNA from 1 species